rnacentral:rRNA from 1 species
UACGUAGGGUGCUAGCGUUGUCCGGAUUUAUUGGGCGUAAAGGGCUCGUAGGCGGCGUGUCGCGUCGGGAGUGAAAGCCCGCUGCUUAACGGCGGGUUGGCUUCCGGUACGGGCAUCGCUGGAGUGCGGCAGGGGAGACUGGAAUUCCUGGUGUAGCGGUGAAAUGCGCAGAUAUCGGGAAGAACACCCGUGGCGAAGGCGGCUCUCUGGGACGGUACUGACGCUGAGACGCGAAAGCGUGGGGAGCGAACAGG